rnacentral:rRNA from 1 species
AGAUUGAACGCUGGCGGCAGGCCUAACACAUGCAAGUCGAGCGGUAGAGAGGUGCUUGCACCUCUUGAGAGCGGCGGACGGGUGAGUAAUGCCUAGGAAUCUGCCUAGUGGUGGGGGAUAACGUUCGGAAACGGACGCUAAUACCGCAUACGUCCUACGGGAGAAAGCGGGGGACCUUCGGGCCUCGCGCCAUUAGAUGAGCCUAGGUCGGAUUAGCUAGUUGGUGAGGUAAUGGCUCACCAAGGCGACGAUCCGUAACUGGUCUGAGGGAG